AUGGGGCUGCGGGCCGAGCCUGCCGGGGCCGCGUGCGCUCUGCCUCGGGGCUGCAGGGGCGGGCGGGUCAGGCUUCGCCCGGCUGGCGCUGCCCGCCCGCCCUGGUUGCCCUGGAGACUCUGGGCCGUGCCCGGGCAGCCCGCGGGGACCCAGCCCCUGGUGCGACGGGGGCGCCGGCAGCCCUCGCCUGAUCUCCGCCAAGGACCCCGCCCCGCGCGCGCCGUGUCCAGGCCUGCGCUGCGCCUCUGCUCCCCGGGCGUCGUCAGAGCCCCGCGCCUGGCCCCGCUCCCCGGCGCCCCCACGAGCUCAGCUCCUCCGCGUUCCCAGCCGCCCUCUCGGGCCCGCAGCGGGAGCGGCGACCUGGGAGCGCGGGGCGCCGGUGGGGACGCUACUCCGGGCCGACCCCGCUCCGCACCCAGGUCCCGACCUCCCGGGCCCUCGGGAGCGGCCCCCGCCCUUCUGCGAACGGACGCGAGGGCGGGGCCGGGCAGGUCCCGAGGCCGUCCCCGCGCCCCGACCCCGCCCACUCACGCCGGCGGCUGCGGCGGUGGCGGCGGCGGCGGCGCCUCGGGCCCAGGCCCCGGGCUGCCGUGCUCCGGGCUCUGCGUCCUGCCGGCCGGGCGCUCGCUGCGGGCUGCAUUCGGCUGCCGGACCCGCCGCCGAUUCGCGGAGGACGCGCGGGCGAACCGACGCGGAGACUGCCGGAGGGCUGCUCGGCGGUGGCGGCCCGCUCGCGUCGCUCAGUCCCGCCGCUCCCGCCCGCAGCCGCUGUUUCUCGGCGCCGCCCGCCUCGCCUGCCGAGAGGCUUCGGGGACUAGAUGUUGGACGCGGAUCCUUCCAGCGCCGCGCCCCGGGUUCGCCGCCUCCUCCGAGAAGCCCCCUAAAGGCCCCACCCUCAUCCUCCUCCAAGAAGCCCCCCAGGCCCCGCCAUCCUCCUCCUCCGGGAAGCCCCCCAGGGCCCGCCAUCCUCCUCCUCCGGGAAGCCCCCCAGGCCUCGCCCUCCUGCUCCUCCGGGAAGCUCCCCAGUCCCCACCAUUCUCCUCCCUCGGGAAGCCCCCCCUAGGCCUUGCCCUCCUCCUCCUCCGAGAAGCCUCCCAGGCCUCACUCUCCUCUGGGAAGCCCCCACAAGCCUCGCCCUCCUCCUCCCCCAGGAAGCCAUCCCCGAACUUGCUCUCCUCCGGGGAGCCCCGCGGCCCCGCAGCACCAAGAGGCCAAAUGGGACCCCGAGGCCACUCCGCCCGCGUCCCUCACUCGCCCUUUCAGCGCCAGGGCUGGCGGAGCGCGCCUGCGCCCAGGGCGCCCCUGUCGUGGUCUGGCUGUCCGGGCCCGCGGGCCCCGGUGUCAGGCUGGUAG
rnacentral:lncRNA from 1 species